AGUUUCUUUCUUGGCCUUGAUGCUGCAAGACAUGCAAGCAUAACAUGUUCCAGAGCGACAGGAGAAAGCAUUCCAUAGUGACAACUCGAUGAAAACUUUACGCAUUGUCAUGCAAACAUUUUUACUGUGGUGCUAACUCAUGGUACUGCUGGUGACUAUGUUCUCCAUGUGCCUGCGUGCUUGCCUGCUUGCCUGGGACACGAGGUAUCGUAUUUGAGGAGCCGCGGUUCAGUGUGCGUCUGGCUGCGGCGGAGCGAGGUGUGAAACUGAAAAUUUCUCUCUGAAGUUUAAGUUCAUGUAGUGAAACAAUGAACACUGAAAUAACCUGAGGUGCGCCAACCUUCGUGUGUGCCUCACUCUGCUUCUAAAUACUUAAUCAUAGAUGACUGAGGACAAAGCUGUGUGGUGAGGCGAGACCUUCCCCUCUACAGCACACAAUGAACCCAGCAACUGCAGCCGACGAUGAGCGUCUCCGCAGUGACUCAAGUGAGGAACGACGCGAUGGAAGAGCAAGAAGGUUCGCCCAGCUGGUGCCAGGGAAGCGACCGCCAGUGAUGGUAAUAGUGUUGGUGUUGAUGCUGGUCAUGAUGGUGGUGGUGGUGACAGUGUUGGUAACAGGCAGAAACAAAUUCGAUCAUCCGUUAGCCACUACAAAUCAGCAUGGUGCUGCUUUCGGCAAGACUUGUGGGAGUGUGGAGGUGACGGGAGACCAAACAUUCUUGGAGGACUACGUUUCUUGCGUCACCAUCGAGGGAAACCUGCGCAUCCAGCUCAUUGAAUACAACGAAACCCAGUCACUCGUUGGUCUUCCUAAUCUCAUUCAGGUGACUGGCUACGUGAUCAUCUACCAGCUCUCGUACUUAAAAACUCUGCGCCACCUGCUCCCGCUCUUAGCUGUCAUCAGGGGACGGGAACUCUUCCAUGGCUAUUCCCUUGUAAUAUAUGGGAACAUCUUCUUGCAAGAACCAAACCUUUGGAACUUGACCCACGUGCUGAGGGGUGCGGUGCGGGUAGAGAAAAAUCUUUGCAGUGGACCUCCCAACCGCUGGGAUCUGCUCUCCCCUUCUCCGGCCCUCAACGUGGUGCAGGAUUAUGGAUUGUGUGUCUACCCGAUGUGUGAAGAACAGAGGGAUUGUACCAAUGUCACCACCGCCAUCCACACCUACUGCACUACGCAUGGCGGAUGCUACCAAGAUUCCCAGUGCCACGAAGAAUGUGUGGGGGGAUGCUACGCCCUCUAUGACCCUAACGCAUGUGUAGCAUGCAGGAAUUACCAAGACGGUCAUACUUGCGUCCCUGAGUGUUCUUCGUCUGUCAAUAACAAAGUCCACCACUUAGGUUACCGAUGCAUUCGCGAGGACGAGUGUGCCAAGGAGCCGUGGAAGAUGGAGAGAGAGAUGGGGCCGCACGGUACUGAGCGGCUGGUCUGUGUUCCAUGCAAUGACAAUUGCUAUGGGACGUGCCGCGGGACGAAGGUCACCACUGCAAACAUGGGACGCCAACUCCGAAAGUGCCAGCAUUUGAAAGGAAACCUGGAAAUCAUGGUGUCAGGUGGCGCUAACUUGAUGCAGCAACUGGAGGAGAACCUGGGCCAGGUGAAGGUGGUGACGGGCUACUUGAAGGUGUACGGCUGUGACACACUCUUCUCCCUGAACUUUCUGAGCACCCUUGAGAAAAUCGGAGGCGAGGAUUUGGCGCACGGCAGGUACGCCCUUUACGUGCUGGACAAUGAGAAGCUACGGGAAUUAUGGGACUGGGAGCACCGCAACCACAGUCUUGAGAUCAUCCAGGGAAUGCUGUUCUUCCAACACAAUCCAAGCCUGUGUCGCGAGCUGAUAAGAAAGCUGGCCACCCAGGCACAGGUACAAGCAGACCGCGUUCAUGUAUCCCAUGCAGAGGACACGGCGCCUUGUUACACAUCGGACCUGGAGGUGCGCUGCGUCCCUUUGAAGAAUGGAAGACUUGAAGUACUCUGGAAGUACCACUAUCACGGCCGCGACCAUCGGUUCGUUAUCGGCUAUUAUUUGUAUUACCGGGAGGCGCCUGAGAAGAUCACACUCUACCAAGGCCGCGACGCCUGCAACGACAACAUCGUGUGGAAGAGGAUUUUUCGAGAGUACGAGCAUGACGAGGAGUGUGUGGUGGGCGUAGACAACCUUAAGCCCUACACUCAGUACGCCGUGUAUGUUGACGUCUACUACAUCGACGCUGUGAAGAACGCCAGCCGCUCCAGCAUCCAGUACGUCACAACCCAAGUCGGUGAGCCGUCUCCAGUGCGUGAGUUGAAGGCUACGUCUCAGAAAGGCACCUCGGCUCAGUUCUUAUCCUGGCGUGAACCUGCCGUUCGCAAUGGACCCCUGAAGGUGUACGAGGUGAAGCACGGGAGGUUGAAGCUUCCCCGUCCACGCCCAACACCCGAGGAUCGUGACGUGUGUGUGGACAGCAGAGAUGAGCCACAGAACAAGACGCGGCUCAGCUUGCAUGGUGGGGAAGACGACAACAAGGCGACCCGCUGUUGUGCGUGUCCAGACUCCGCCGCCAACCUCUCAAAGGAGGAUCGACGUUAUGACCACGAGUUUGACAUCCACUUUCAAACCUUCAUGUGGCAAAGCCUGUUCUGCAAAAGGGAUAGUGACGACAAUGAAAAUAAAUCAAUGCCCGCCUCCGUCAGCCAAAGCAAGCCUCCUGCCCAGCGCCGCAACUACACAGCAGACGAAGUCACGAGGAAUGUGAGCGACAUCACCAGCACGCCCGUCAUCCCAGGGACAGCUUCCAUAGUCGCCGAGGAGCAGAACCGAUCCAGGCAGCGGAAACGUAGAAGUAUAGUACAUUUGUCAGCAAGAAUACAAGACAGGACAGACACGGAAACGAGCGACCAAAAACGAGAGGAGAAAAAUAAUAAAUACAAGGAGAUGGAGCACGAUGAGUGUGAAAUAAGCACUGACACAAACAGCGACACAGCCGAGGUGUGUGACGUGAGGACGAUGACGACCAACAAUACCCGCGUCACUCUGAUGCGUUUGUCGUAUUUCACACAAUACAGGGUGUGGGUAAGAGCAUGCCACACCGAGGGCAGUAUCUGCAGCGACUGGUCUGUUCUGGAUGUGACAACUCCAGUGGACAUAUCCAUAUACAAGAUAAAAAACUUCAAGGUGAAACAAAUGAAAACAAACGAGACUAAAUGGCCAGACACAAAAUCACAGGCCAAUUCCAGUAACAAAACACCCGCUUCACCACCCGGAGCAGCAGCACAAAUAGGCACCACGCUUCUCCUUAGUUGGGACCCACCAAUGGUUCCGAUGGAACUCAUCCUGGCCUAUAUCAUCGAAUACCAGCUGGAACAAACACCUAAGAAAAAAAUAUGCGUCCCGCAGCAAAAGAUGCGUCACGCCGAGUAUAGAUUUCCACUGCAGAAGUAUGGAAGCUACACUUUCCACAUUAGACUUCGUUCUCCCAGCGGCGAUGGACCACCUACCAGCCUCACCAUUGGGAUCAAGAGACCCGACGUUUAUUGGGCUGUCCCUGUUGCCUUCCUGUGUGGGGGUUUGUUAGGUAUCUGCAUUAUGGAGGUGGUCUUAUGGGUGAGGUGGCGGAAAAGAAGCGAAGCUCCAGAGUCACAGACUUUCGAAGAGCUCUUACUGGAGGCAGGACUAAAGCAUUUAGAGAAGGAUUUCAUCAUUGAUAGCAACGUCCUGCAAGUAAAGUUGGACAAGAAAAUUGGUCAGGGGGUCUUCGGGAUAGUUUACCUCGGAAUGCUGAAGCUUCCUGCUGGGGAAGAACGACAGGUGGCGGUGAAGACCGUCAACGAGGAGGCCACGUACCAGGACAUGAAGCACUUCUUGGACGAGGCCACCGUCAUGCAGAAAAUGAAAUCAAACUUUGUGGUAAGUCUGAUUGGCGUGAACAGUUGUCCGCCAAUAUAUGUUGUCAUGGAGUUCAUGGAAUAUGGUGACCUCAAGUCCUUCCUCUUAAGAGAGGAAGGGGCCACGAUUACGAAUGAGAAAAUGGUGGAAAUGGCGGUGGAGGCAGCAGACGGGAUGGCUUACCUGAAGGCCAAUAAUUGGGUGCACCGAGACCUGGCGGCGCGCAAUUGUAUGCUGGGUAUGGUGGAAGACCGACUCAUACUCAAGAUUGGGGAUUUCGGCCUUACCAGACACGUCACAACUGACUACUACAAGAUAAAGACAUGUGGAUUAUUGCCAGUGCGCUGGAUGGCCCCCGAGUCACUGGAAUACUACCGUUAUACUACCAGGUCCGAUGUGUGGAGUUAUGGUGUGUUGCUUUGGGAACUUGCCAGCGGGGGACGUCAGCCUUAUGAGGAUAAACUAGAUAAAGAGGUGGAGGACUUCAUUCUCUGUGGUAAGAGGCUGGGACCUCCCGACAGAGGUCCAGAUUUUUUCUACCCGCUCAUGCUGAAGUGCUGGAACGCAGUACCCGAGCAGCGACCAAGCUUCAAGAGAAUAGUGCAACGUCUUCUUCCAAUGACCUCCAAAAAGUAUUUGGAGUACUUCCAGAGGGUGUCCUUCUUCCAUAACCCUGGUUCCUCUGAGCACGAGGGCCCGGAUGACAUUGACGAAGGGUUCAAUGCCAGCAGUUCAAGUCAAGAGGAGGCCGAAGCUGGGUACUCGGGCUCCUACUCGUCUUCCUUGCCUCCCUUCCACCACCUUGACCAAGACAGCCAAGUUGAAAAUGACCAAUUUGAGAAUGAGAGCAGCGAAGACGACACAGCAGUAGAGGACGAUCUGGUCUGCAUGACGCCUGAGGAGCCAUACGAAAGGCAGUGUUCCGGCCCGCUGCCGUGCAUCACCAGCCAUGUGGGGCGACUUCCACCAAGCAGUGAUGCUCCACACAAAAAGCUUCUCUUCCGCACGUCUUGUUUCGCCGAAACAUAGCCUCCUCCUUUACAGCCUCUUGAAGGCGGCCUGCACUCUUCACACCUCUACAGGUCGCAGCAUGCCUUGGGUGGAACUGGCAACAUUGUUGACCCGUCAAAAAUGUUUCCUUGACAAACAUCAAGUAGUACAUUAGUCGCUGGUGUGAAUCAUGUGUUGUUAUUAACAUAUAAGUACCUGGACCGAAAGACCAGUGUGACUUCAAACAUGAUCGUCAAUAUGUCUUCUUUAGUACUACGCAUGAAGUUACGUCUUUUUAUCAUUUAUGUUCUUAAAACAGAAGGAACGAUUUGCAUUUCUAUUUUAAAUAUGGAAUAUAUUAUCUAAUAUGACAAAUAACGACAUGUACAUUAUGCAAUAUUUCAGUGUCGAUGCAAAAUGACAAGGCAUUUCCCGAUGAACUUUAGAAAAGUGUGUGUGUGUGUGUGUGUGUGUGUGUGUGUGUGUGUGUGUGUGUGUGUGUGUGUGUGUGUGUGUGUGUGUGUGUGUGUGUGUGUGUGUGUGUGUGUGUGUGUGUGUGUGUG
rnacentral:misc_RNA from 1 species